rnacentral:rRNA from 1 species
UGGAGCUGAAGUCAGUCGAAGAUACCAGCUGGCUGCAACUGUUUAUUAAAAACACAGCACUGUGCAAACACGAAAGUGGACGUAUACGGUGUGACGCCUGCCCGGUGCCGGAAGGUUAAUUGAUGGGGUCAGCGCAAGCGAAGCUCCUGAUCGAAGCCCCGGUAAACGGCGGCCGUAACUAUAACGGUCCUAAGGUAGCGAAAUUCCUUGUCGGGUAAGUUCCGACCUGCACGAAUGGCGUAAUGAUGGCCAGGCUGUCUCCACCCGAGACUCAGUGAAAUUGAACUCGCUGUGAAGAUGCAGUGUACCCGCGGCAAGACGGAAAGACCCCGUGAACCUUUACUAUAGCUUGACACUGAACAUUGAGCCUUGAUGUGUAGGAUAGGUGGGAGGCUUUGAAGUGUGGACGCCAGUCUGCAUGGAGCCGACCUUGAAAUACCACCCUUUAAUGUUUGAUGUUCUAACGUGGACCCGUGAUCCGGGUUGCGGACAGUGUCUGGUGGGUAGUUUGACUGGGGCGGUCUCCUCCUAAAGAGUAACGGAGGAGCACGAAGGUUGGCUAAUCCUGGUCGGACAUCAGGAGGUUAGUGCAAUGGCAUAAGCCAGCUUGACUGCGAGCGUGACGGCGCGAGCAGGUGCGAAAGCAGGUCAUAGUGAUCCGGUGGUUCUGAAUGGAAGGGCCAUCGCUCAACGGAUAAAAGGUACUCCGGGGAUAACAGGCUGAUACCGCCCAAGAGUUCAUAUCGACGGCGGUGUUUGGCACCUCGAUGUCGGCUCAUCACAUCCUGGGGCUGAAGUAGGUCCCAAGGGUAUGGCUGUUCGCCAUUUAAAGUGGUACGCGAGCUGGGUUUAGAACGUCGUGAGACAGUUCGGUCCCUAUCUGCCGUGGGCGCUGGAGAACUGAGGGGGGCUGCUCCUAGUACGAGAGGACCGGAGUGGACGCAUCACUGGUGUUCGGGUUGUCAUGCCAAUGGCACUGCCCGGUAGCUAAAUGCGGAAGAGAUAAGUGCUGAAAGCAUCUAAGCACGAAACUUGCCCCGAGAUGAGUUCUCCCUGAGACUUUAGGUCUCCUGAAGGAACGUUGAAGACGACGACGUUGAUAGGCCGGGUGUGUAAGCGCAGCGAUGCGUUGAGCUAACCGGUACUAAUGAACCGUGAGGCUUAACCUUACAACGCCGA